UUGAGCGAAUGUUUGAAGAGUUUUCGCUGCGGGAGCUACAGAGUUGAUCAAAUCCGAGCAGCGGAUCUUCAAGCGGCUAUUGAUAUAAAUCGAAGCGAGAUGGGGUGUUUAUUUGCUAGAAUUUAAUCUCAGUUGUUAUAUCAUUAAUCCGCCUUGUAAAAUAAGUAUUUAAACAAGCUAGUUUGAAUGUUAUAUUGUGAUACAAUUACUUGCAGUAGUUUGAUCGGCAUCUGUUUAACAUAAGUUAACAUGAAUGAAUGACAUCUAUGACAUUGUUACUAGGUUUCGAAGGCAUUUUAAUAGAGAGACAAUGGGCGAUGAGUUAAAGUCGGUGAGUCGGGAGGUGAAUUAUAAUAAAUAUUUAUCCAAAACGGCCGUGACUGAUGCUGAGGUGUGUAUUGAGCAUCCGCCGGUAACGCGUUUAUAUAAGAAGAGAUGGAUCAUAGUGUGUUUAUUCAGCUCAUACUCGCUGUGUAACUCCUAUCAGUGGAUUCAAUACGGGAUCAUCAACAAUAUCUUCAUGCGCUUCUACAGCGUGGACUCUUUCACCAUUGACUGGAUGUCCAUGAUUUACAUGUUAACAUACAUUCCGCUCAUUUUUCCCGUCUCGUGGCUCUUGGAUAAAAAAGGUCUGCGGGUCAUCGCGCUCGUUGCCGCGGCAUUGAACUGCGCAGGCACGUGGAUCAAGGUGGCCAGCGCGAGACCGGACCUUUUUCCCGUGACAUUUCUGGGUCAGUUCACUUGCUCCGUGGCCCAGGUGUUCAUCCUCGGGAUGCCCUCGCGCAUCGCGUCUGUGUGGUUCGGUUCGGAUGAGGUGUCCACUGCGUGUUCCAUCGGGGUCUUCGGAAAUCAGUUAGGGAUCGCCAUUGGCUUUCUUGUUCCACCAAUCCUGGUUCCAAAUGUGGAUGAUCUGGACAAGUUGGCGGGUCACAUAAGAGUCAUGUUCUACAUCACAGCGGGCGUGGCUACCUUUCUGUUUGUCUUGGUUGUCAUUGUGUUUCAGGACCGUCCGGAGGUCCCUCCCACUCACGCCCAGGCCGUGGCUCGUCAGAUCUCUCCGGAAAGCUACUCAUACACAGCCUCCAUUCUCAGACUGCUUCGCAACAAAGCUUUCAUCCUACUCGUCAUCACUUAUGGACUGAAUGUUGGCUGUUUCUAUGCUGUUGGUACACUUCUCAACCGAAUGAUCAUCGAACACUAUAGCGGAGAGGAAGUGAACGUGGGUAGGAUCGGCCUCACCAUUGUAAUCGCUGGCAUGGUGGGUUCCCUCAUCUGUGGAAUCUGGUUAGACCGAUCCAAAACAUACAAACAGACCACUCUAGUUGUGUAUCUCAUGUCCCUUCUGGGUCUGUUGCUUUAUGCUUUUACUUUGGAUCUGGGGCACCUGUGGGUGGUUUUCAUCACAGCGGGAAGCCUCGGAUUCUUCAUGACGGGUUAUCUGCCCCUCGGCUUUGAGUUUGCUGUGGAACUCACUUACCCAGAGUCUGAGGGAACAUCAUCAGGUCUUCUGAACUGUUCCGCACAGGUAUUUGGGAUCAUAUUCACGAUCUGUCAGGGGAAAAUUAUGGACUCGUUUAACACUCUGGCUGGAAAUCUCUUCCUAUGUGUUUUCCUUCUGAUAGGAACCAUUAUGACAGGCUGUAUUAAGUCAGAUCUACGCAGACAGUUGGCAAACCAGCAAGCACUGACAGCUGCAGCAGUGGGCAGAUCAGACGUUAAGGAUCACAGUGGCACGUCUCUCCUCCCACCUACACACAUCUGAUCAAUCAAUCAAUCAGUGCCUUAUUUUAUCACUCACUGGUGGUUCAGGUACAGGUGGCACACACCAAUCUGAUUCACACUCUAUGACACAUUUUGAUUGUAUCUUAUAAACUGAUUCAAAAAUGCUUUGAUAUAUUUGACGUUCUACUUGAUUUUAGUUGUUCUGAAAUGUCUGCUUUAUCCAAACACUUAAUCCUUGAGCACUGUGCAUGUCUUUUGUAGCAUGUUGCUUUCUGCAUUGUAGUGUUAUUUUCAUUACAUUUCAUUUUUUUUUUUUUUUUUUUUGUUAGUCUUCUCUCUGACUGUUAGUUUUAGUUUAAUUUAAGCUUUUUAAAUAUAUUUAGUUUUUAUUUUAAUUUUAGUAUAUUAAGGCUUCCAAAUUUGUUGCGUUAAUUAAUAUAAUUUUCUUACAUUUAACGCUGUUUAAUUUCUCUAGGCUGUCUAUUGUUAUCACUAUCUAGUGGCAUUCUUAUAAGCAAUGAAUGCAGAUUGACCCUUUGGAGAGAUCAACUGCACCUUCUGUUGUAGCUGAAGCCAAACUCUAACGCACUUGCACAUCGUUCUGUCAGAUAAUGUGAAUUCAGAAUGGAUCUUAUUUAGCAUUUCACACUUUUUUUUUUCUUUAUAGUUUGUAACUGGCCUUCAAUGUCAAGAGUGAAGCUAAAACGUUUUCUGAGGAUCUUGUACAUCAUUCAAAACGUAUUAUGUGUGUGUGUUUUUGUGUGUGAAUUUGUAUUAUGUUGAACGUUUAUAACAGCCAAGGAUUGCAUCCUUUAGUUUCAACAGAACUUGUUUCUUUGCUAUUAAGUUUGUCUAUUUGUUCAACAAGAUCAUUUUUUGUAAGUUUACCUAAUCUUAACUAAUCAUCUCAGGAUAUCAUCUAAUUUUUAACUAGUUUAUCAGUUGGUGAAUAAAAUUAAUUAGGGUAACAUUCUCUUUAAUAACAAAAAGUUUUUAUAGAAGGUUUCAAAACCAAAUCCUCUGAUGAAACCCAUAAGAAAAAUGCGAAAUGUUUGUCAGUAUUGUGCAUAUUUAAGAGAAAUUGUGACUGAAUAGAAACAGAAUAGAAAUAAGAGCAUCAUGGUUAAAUGCACUGUGUUGGUUUCCAUUUAUGCAGCUAUAUAAAUUGUGUUUAAUAAAAACACAAUAUUUUCCUACUCUUCUUUAGUAUUUUGACCAUAAUUAAAGGUCUAAAAAGUUGCAAUGAAAAAAAUUUUUUUAACACAUCUAAGCGCUUUCAAGUUUUUAUUUAUUUAUUUUUUGUUUAGUAAAAUGUUUAUCAUCCUGA